rnacentral:rRNA from 1 species
AUGCCGCGUGAGUGAAGAAGGCCUUCGGGUUGUAAAGCUCUUUUGUCAGGGAAGAAACACCGGCUCUAACACAGUCCGGGAAUGACGGUACCUGAAGAAUAAGCACCGGCUAACUACGUGCCAGCAGCCGCGGUAAUACGUAGGGUGCGAGCGUUAAUCGGAAUUACUGGGCGUAAAGCGUGCGCAGGCGGUUGUACAAGACAGGCGUGAAAUCCCCGGGCUUAACCUGGGAAUGGCGCCUGUGACUGUACUGCUAGAGUGUGUCAGAGGGGGGUAGAAUUCCACGUGUAGCAGUGAAAUGCGUAGAUAUGUGGAGGAAUACCGAUGGCGAAGGCAGCCCCCUGGGAUAACACUGACGCUCAUGCACGAAAGCGUGGGGAGCAAACAGGAUUAGAUACCCUGGUAGUCCACGCCCUAAACGAUGUCUACUAGUUGUCGGGUCUUAAUUGACUUGGUAACGCAGCUAACGCGUGAAGUAGACCGCCUGGGGAGUACGGUCGCAAGAUUAAAACUCAAAGGAAUUGACGGGGACCCGCACAAGCGGUGGAUGAUGUGGAUUAAUUCGAUGCAACGCGAAAAGACUUACCUACCCUUGACAUGUACGGAACCCUGCUGAGAGGUGGGGGUGCUCAAAAGAGAGCCGCAACACAGGUGGUGCGUUGGUGUGCGCAGCUCGCGUCUUGAGAUUUGGGGGUAAUCUCGAGAAAGAGCGCAACUUUGUCUUAGUUGCUACGAAA